rnacentral:rRNA from 1 species
CAGCCGCCGCGGUAAUACGAGGGGGGCUAGCGUUGCUCGGAAUGACUGGGCGUAAAGGGCGCGUAGGCGGUUUUGACAGUCAGAUGUGAAAUUCCUGGGCUCAACCUGGGAAUGGCAGUGGAUACUGGCUCGCUAGAGUGUGUCAGAGGAUGGUGGAAUUCCCGGUGUAGCGGUGAAAUGCGUAGAGAUCGGGAGGAACAUCAGUGGCGAAGGCGGCCAUCUGGGACAACACUGACGCUGAGGCACGAAAGCGUGGGGAGCAAACAGGAUUAGAUACCCCUGUAGUCCCUGUCUCUUAUAC